ACUCCUGCGGGAGGCAGCAGUGGGGAAUUUUGGACAAUGGGCGAAAGCCUGAUCCAGCAAUGCCGCGUGCAGGAUGAAGGCCUUCGGGUUGUAAACUGCUUUUGUACGGAACGAAAAAGCUCCUUCUAAUACAGGGGGCCCAUGACGGUACCGUAAGAAUAAGCACCGGCUAACUACGUGCCAGCAGCCGCGGUAAUACGUAGGGUGCGAGCGUUAAUCGGAAUUACUGGGCGUAAAGCGUGCGCAGGCGGUUAUGUAAGACAGAUGUGAAAUCCCCGGGCUCAACCUGGGAACUGCAUUUGUGACUGCAUGGCUAGAGUACGGUAGAGGGGGAUGGAAUUCCGCGUGUAGCAGUGAAAUGCGUAGAUAUGCGGAGGAACACCGAUGGCGAAGGCAAUCCCCUGGACCUGUACUGACGCUCAUGCACGAAAGCGUGGGGGGCAAACAGGAUUAGAAACCCGAGUAGUCC
rnacentral:rRNA from 1 species